UGGAACAUGUAAGUAAGGGC
rnacentral:miRNA from 1 species